CCUUUGGAGUGUUACAACCACUUGAGUAGUAUUAGUAAUAAUACGAAAAAGAACACGUUGAAAAAGGAA
rnacentral:ncRNA from 1 species